AGUGAACGCUGGCGGUAGGCCUAACACAUGCAAGUCGAACGGCAGCACAGUAAGAGCUUGCUCUUACGGGUGGCGAGUGGCGGACGGGUGCGGAAUACAUCGGAAUCUACUUUUUCGUGGGGGAUAACGUAGGGAAACUUACGCUAAUACCGCAUACGACCUACGGGUGAAAGCAGGGGAUCUUCGGACCUUGCGCGAUUGAAUGAGCCGAUGUCGGAUUAGCUAGUUGGCGGGGUAAAGGCCCACCAAGGCGACGAUCCGUAGCUGGUCUGAGAGGAUGAUCAGCCACACUGGAACUGGGACAAGGUCCGGACUCCUACGGGAGGGAACAGUGGGGAAUAUUGGAUAAUGGGCGCAAGCCUGAUCCAGCCAUACCGCGUGGGUGAGGAAGGCCUUCGGGUGGUAAAGCCCUUUUGUUGGGAAAGAAAAGCAGCAGGUUAAUACCCCGCUGUUCUGACGGUACCCAAAGAAUAAGCACCGGAUAACUUCGUG
rnacentral:rRNA from 1 species